AGCUUCCUGAAUCCGUGUAGAGACUUCGUCAUAAACCAACCCAUUAGGUCUGAUCAGACUUCCAAGAUAAGUGAAGUU
rfam:Schistosoma mansoni, Puerto Rico, WGS project CABG01000000 data, contig: 0142